rnacentral:miRNA from 1 species
CACCACUAAGAGUUGAAGCUGCCAGCAUGAUCUUAGUUUUCCUACUUUGGAGAAAUCAGAUCGUGGUGGUAGCUUCACCUCUUGCUGGU